CAAGUCGAACGAGAAAGCGGGAGCAAUCUCGCAAGUACAGUGGCGUACGGGUGAGUAACACGUGGAUGAUCUGCCCUGGAGUGGGGAAUAACGCUGGGAAACCGGCGCUAAUACCGCAUAUUCCCGAGAGGGGAAAGCAGCAAUGCGCUCGAGGAGGAGUCCGCGGCCGAUUAGCUAGUUGGCAGGGUAAAAGCCUACCAAGGCUAUGAUCGGUAGCCGGCCUGAGAGGGCACACGGCCACACUGGCACUGAAACACGGGCCAGACUCCUACGGGAGGCAGCAGUGGGGAAUCUUGCACAAUGGGGGAAACCCUGAUGCAGCGACGCCGCGUGAGCGAUGAAGCCCUUCGGGGUGUAAAGCUCUUUCGGCAGGGAAGAUUAUGACGGUACCUGCAGAAGCAGCUGCGGCUAACUACGUGCCAGCAGCCGCGGUAAUACGUAGGCAGCAAGCGUUGUUCGGAGUUACUGGGCGUAAAGGGUGUGUAGGUGGCCUGUUAAGUUCCGUGUGAAAUCUCCCGGCUCAACCGGGAGGGUGCGCGGAAAACUGGCGGGCUAGAGUACGGGAUGGGAGAGUAGAAUUCCUGGUGUAGCGGUGAAAUGCGUAGAUAUCAGGAGGAAUACCGGUGGUGUAGACGGCUCUCUGGACCGUAACUGACACUGAGACACGAAAGCGUGGGUAGCAAACAGGAUUAGAUACCCUGGUAGUCCACGCCCUAAACGAUGCAUAUUUGGUGUAGGCAGUUCAUUCUGUCUGUGCCGGAGCUAACGCGUUAAUAUGCCGCCUGGGGAGUACAGUCGCAAGGCUGAAACUCAAAGGAAUUGACGGGGGCCCGCACAAGCGGUGGAACAUGUGGUUCAUU
rnacentral:rRNA from 1 species